rnacentral:rRNA from 1 species
AGUGAACGCUGGCGGUAGGCCUAACACAUGCAAGUCGAACGGCAGCACAGUAAGAGCUUGCUCUUACGGGUGGCGAGUGGCGGACGGGUGAGGAAUACAUCGGAACCUACUUUUUCGUGGGGGAUAACGUAGGGAAACUUACGCUAAUACCGCAUACGACCUACGGGUGAAAGCAGGGGAUCUUCGGCCCUUGCGCGAUUGAAUGAGCCGAUGUCGGAUUAGCUAGUUGGCGGGGUAAAGGCCCACCAAGGCGACGAUCCGUAGCUGGUCUGAGAGGAUGAUCAGCCACACUGGAACUGAGACACGGUCCAGACUCCUACGGGAGGCAGCAGUGGGGAAUAUUGGACAAUGGGCGCAAGCCUGAUCCAGCCAUACCGCGUGGGUGAAGAAGGCCUUCGGGUUGUAAAGCCCUUUUGUUGGGAAAGAAAAGCAGCAGGUUAAUACCCCGCUGUUCUGACGGUACCCAAAGAAUAAGCACCGGCUAACUUCGUG